rnacentral:rRNA from 1 species
GAUGAACGCUGGCGGCGUGCCUAAUGCAUGCAAGUCGAGCGAACGGACGAGAAGCUUGCUUCUCUGAUGUUAGCGGCGGACGGGUGAGUCACACGUGUAUAACCUACCUAUAAGACUGGGAUAACUUCGGGAAACCGUAGCUAAUCCCGGAUAAUCUUUUGAACCGCAUUGUUCAAAAGUGAAAUACGGUCUUGCUGUAGCUUGUGGAUGGAUCCGCGCUGCAUUAGCUAGUUGGUGAGGGAACGGCUUACCAAGGCGACGAUGGGUAGCCGGCCUGAGAGGGGGACCGGCCACAUUGGGAAUGAGAUACGGCCCAGACUCCUACGGGAGGCAGCAGUGGGGAAUAUUGCACAAUGGGCGGAAGCCUGAUGCAGCAACGCCGCGUGCGGGAUGACGGCCUUCGGGUUGUAAACCGCUUUCGCCUGUGACGAAGCGUGAGUGACGGUAAUGGGUAAAGAAGCACCGGCUAACUACGUG